AUUCUUCAUACUUUAGCGCUCUGCGAGUGUUUAUAACCUUCUGGCUUUAACACUUCAUGACUGAGAGCUGCUACUUCACCCACAGCAACCAUGACUCUGAUCAGCAUCUUCAUCUGCACACUGGUCCUCUGGGCUCAAGGAUCCAGAGGUCAGGUGAUUGUGACUCAGACUCCUUCAGUGCAAACUGUUGCUCCGGGAAACACAGUCACCAUCAACUGCAGAACCAAUCUCAGAGUAUUUGAUGGUAACUAUCUACACUGGUACCUGCAGAAACCAGGAGAAGCCCCUAAACUUCUGAUUAAGCAUGUUAAUAGUUUACAAUCAGGUAUUUCAGCUCGCUUCAAAGGCAGUGGAUCUGAUACUGACUUCACGCUGACCAUCAGUGAAGUCCAGACUGAAGAUGCAGGAGAUUAUUACUGUCUUAGUGACCUUCAGAUCAGUGGCAUCUCAGUGUUCACACAGUGGUAAAGAGUCGUACAAAAACCUCGGUAAGUGAGAGCACAUGGAGAAGCACUGCUGCAGCUGGGAGCGACUGCAGGUGCUGAGGAGGAUGUGAUACAGCACAAUAACAUUCAUUCAUUCAUUCAUUUUCUACCGCUUACCCGAACUACCUCGUGUCACGGGGAGCCUGUGCCUA